GACGAACGCUGGCGGCGUGCUUAACACAUGCAAGUCGAACGGAAAGGCCCUGCUUGUGUGGGGUGCUCGAGUGGCGAACGGGUGAGUAACACGUGAGUAACCUGCCCUUGACUUGGGGAUAACUUCAGGAAACUGGGGCUAAUACCUGAUAGGAGCGCCUGCUGCAUGGUGGGGGUUGGAAAGUUUCGGCGGUUGGGGAUGGACUCGCGGCUUAUCAGCUUGUUGGUGGGGUAGUGGCUUACCAAGGCUUUGACGGGUAGCCGGCCUGAGAGGGUGACCGGCCACAUUGGGACUGAGAUACGGCCCAGACUCCUACGGGAGGCAGCAGUGGGGAAUAUUGCACAAUGGGCGGAAGCCUGAUGCAGCAACGCCGCGUGCGGGAUGACGGCCUUCGGGUUGUAAACCGCUUUCGCCUGUGACGAAGCGUGAGUGACGGUAAUGGGUAAAGAAGCACCGGCUAACUACGUG
rnacentral:rRNA from 1 species